rnacentral:lncRNA from 1 species
GAAUCAGUGGCAGCCAUUCCUUUCCAUGAAUGGAAACAAGGUUACAUCAGACCAACAAUAGUCUGCAUCAAGGUUAAUGGAGUGUGUGCUGGAUCGCACUUUUCCAACCCAGCCGGAUUCGAUAGAAUUGAAGCAGAAAGUGAACCGAACCAGGACAGAAUAGCCACAGAUCUUCCGUUUGGUAUUUGGGACACCAGUGUCGGACUGGUUAAGCUGAACGACAGCAUGCCAACUCUGGAUGUUUCUGGAACUGUUAGGACUGGUCAACAAGUCAUUGUUGUCCACUACUACCAACCAACUCGUCCUGAGGCCACGAUCAAGGUGACCAUUUAUUCCAAGGACCGUGUUUACA